rnacentral:rRNA from 1 species
GACGAACGCUGGCGGCGUGCCUAACACAUGCAAGUCGAACGGAAAGGCACUGCUUUUGUGGGGUGACCGAGUGGCGAACGGGUGAGUAACACGUGAGUAACCUGCUCUUGACUUUGGGAUAACUUCAGGAAACUGGGGCUAAUAUCGGAUAGGAGCUCCUGCUGCAUGGUGGGGGUUGGAAAGUUUCGGCGGUUGGGGAUGGACUCGCGGCUUAUCAGCUUGUUGGUGGGGUAGUGGCUUACCAAGGCUUGGACGGGUAGCCGGCCUGGGAGGGAGACCGGCCACAUAGGGACUGGGGUACGGCCCGGACGCCAUCGGGGGGCAGCAGUGGGAAAUAUUGCACAAUAGGCGGAAGCCGGAAGCAACACCGCCGCGUGCGGGAGGACGGCUUUCGGGUAAGAAACCGCUUUCGCCUGUAACGAAGCGUGAGUGACGGUAAUAGGUAAAGAGGCACCGGCUAACUACUU